UGGGGAAUAUUGGACAAUGGGCGAAAGCCUGAUCCAGCCAUGCCGCGUGUGUGAAGAAGGUCUUCGGAUUGUAAAGCACUUUAAGUUGGGAGGAAGGGCAGUAAGCGAAUACCUUGCUGUUUUGACGUUACCGACAGAAUAAGCACCGGCUAACUCUGUGCCAGCAGCCGCGGUAAUACAGAGGGUGCAAGCGUUAAUCGGAAUUACUGGGCGUAAAGCGCGCGUAGGUGGUUCGUUAAGUUGAACGUGAAAGCCCCGGGCUCAACCUGGGAACUGCAUCCAAAACUGGCGAGCUAGAGUAGGGCAGAGGGUGGGGGAAUUUCCUGUGUAGCGGUGAAAUGCGUAGAUAUAGGAAGGAACACCAGUGGCGAAGGCGACCACCUGGGCUCAUACUGACACUGAGGUGCGAAAGCGUGGGGAGCAAACAGG
rnacentral:rRNA from 1 species